CCUACGGGAGGCAGCAGUAGGGAAUCUUCCACAAUGGACGGAAGUCUGAUGGAGCAACGCCGCGUGAGCGAAGAAGGUCUUCGGAUCGUAAAGCUCUGUUGUAAGGGAAGAAUAAGUACAGUAGUAACUGGCUGUACCUUGACGGUACCUUACGAGAAAGCCACGGCUAACUACGUGCCAGCAGCCGCGGUAAU
rnacentral:rRNA from 2 species